GACCCGUUAGCUCAGCCGGUAGAGCACUUGACUUUUAAUCAAGGUGUCCGGAGUUCGAAUCUCCGACGGGUCACCA
rnacentral:tRNA from 1 species